rnacentral:rRNA from 1 species
UGGGGGAUAUUGCACAAUGGGCGAAAGCCUGAUGCAGCGACGCCGCGUGGGGGAUGAAGGCUUUCGGGUUGUAAACCUCUUUCGCUAUCGAACAAGGCCCGCUUAGGGUGGGUUGAGGGUAGGUGGAGAAGAAGCGCCGGCUAACUACGUGCCAGCGGCCGCGGUAAUACGUAGGGCGCGAGCGUUGUCCGGAAUUAUUGGGCGUAAAGGGCUUGUAGGCGGCUUGUUGCGCCUGCUGUGAAAACGCGGGGCUUAACUUCGCGCGUGCAGUGGGUACGGGCAGGCUUGAGUGUGGUAGGGGUGACUGGAAUUCCAGGUGUAGCGGUGGAAUGCGCAGAUAUCUGGAGGAACACCGAUGGCGAAGGCAGGUCACUGGGCCAUUACUGACGCUGAGGAGCGAAAGCAUGGGUAGCGAACAGG